AACGCGAAGAACCUUACCUGGGCUCGAAAUGUAGUGGACCGGGGUAGAAAUAUCCCUUCCUAGCAAUAGGCUGCUAUAUAGGUGCUGCAUGGCUGUCGUCAGCUCGUGUCGUGAGAUGUUGGGUUAAGUCCCGCAACGAGCGCAACCCUUAUUACCAGUUGCCAUCAUUCAGUUGGGCACUCUGGUGAGACCGCCUCGGAUAACGGGGAGGAAGGCGGGGAUGACGUCAAGUCCUCAUGGCCUUUAUGUCCAGGGCUACACACGUGCUACAAUGGCCGGUACAAACCGUCGCAAACCCGUGAGGGGGAGCUAAUCGGAAAAAGCCGGCCUCAGUUCGGAUUGGAGUCUGCAACUCGACUCCAUGAAGCUGGAAUCGCUAGUAAUCGCGGAUCAGAACGCCGCGGUGAAUACGUUCCCGGGCCUUGUACACACCGCUGUA
rnacentral:rRNA from 1 species